GGGUCGUUAGCUCAGUUGGCAGAGCAGUGGACUUUUAAUCCAUGGGUCCUGGGUUCGAGCCCCAGACGACCCA
rnacentral:tRNA from 4 species